rnacentral:tRNA from 1 species
AGUCUUAUAGUCAAUAAUGAUAUUAAAUUGCAAAUUUAAAGGUAAAAAUUUUUUUAAGGCUU